rnacentral:misc_RNA from 1 species
CAAGAAACGAGUGCUAGCGUGCUCGCCUGCCUCCCUCUCCUUACCAUUGCCUACUGCAGUACCUUCUUGCUGUCCUGCGGCGGGCUUCCGCCCGCCGAUUGGACAAUUAUACAACCCUUAUAGCAGUUGCAAUCAGCUGUCUGAAAAACGCUUAAUCGUA